rnacentral:rRNA from 1 species
GACGAACGCUGGCGGCGUGCUUAACACAUGCAAGUCGAGCGGUAAGGCCCUUUCGGGGGUACACGAGCGGCGAACGGGUGAGUAACACGUGGGUGACCUGCCCUCAGCUCUGGGAUAAGCCUGGGAAACCGGGUCUAAUACCGGAUAUGACUCCAUGACGCAUGUUGUGGGGUGGAAAGCCUUGUGCGGCUGGAGGAUGGGCCCGCGGCCUAUCAGCUUGUGGUGGGGUGAUGGCCUACAAGCGACGACGGUAGCGGCCUGAGAGGGCGACCGGCCACACUGGGACUGAGACACGG